rnacentral:rRNA from 1 species
UUCCGGUUGAUCCUGCGGAGGCCUCUGCUAUUGGGGUCCGACUAAGCCAUGCGAGUCAUGGGGCGCCUUGCGCGCACCGGCGGACGGCUCAGUAACACGUCGGUAACCUACCCUCGGGAGGGGGAUAACCCCGGGAAACUGGGGCUAAUCCCCCAUAGGUUUAGGGCACUGGAAGGUCCCUAAACCGAAAGGGGGCUCUGCCCGCCCGAGGAUGGGCCGGCGGCCGAUUAGGUAGUUGGUGGGGUAACGGCCCACCAAGCCUAUAAUCGGUACGGGCAGUGAGAGCUGGAGCCCGGAGAUGGACACUGAGACACGGGUCCAGGCCCUACGGGGCGCAGCAGGCGCGAAACCUCCGCAAUGCUCGAAAGAGCGACGGGGGGACCCCAAGUGCCGUGGUACAACCACGGCUUUUCCGGAGUGUAAGAAGCUCCGGGAAUAAGGGCUGGGCAAGGCCGGUGGCAGCCGCCGCGGUAAUACCGGCGGCCCGAGUGGUGGCCACUAUUAUUGGGCCUAAAGCGUCCGUAGCCGGGCUUGUAAGUCCCUGGCGAAAUCCCACGGCUCAACCGUGGGGCUUGCUGGGGAUACUGCAAGCCUUGGGACCGGGAGAGGCCGGGGGUACUCCUGGGGUAGGGGUGAAAUCCUAUAAUCCCAGGAGGACCGCCAGUGGCGAAGGCGCCCGGCUGGAACGGGUCCGACGGUGAGGGACGAAGGCCAGGGGAGCAAACCGGAUUAGAUACCCGGGUAGUCCUGGCUGUAAAGGAUGCGGGCUAGGUGUUGCUUGGACUUCGAGUCCAAGCAGUGCCGCAGGGAAGCCGUUAAGCCCGCCGCCUGGGGAGUACGGCCGCAAGGCUGAAACUUAAAGGAAUUGGCGGGGGAGCACUACAAGGGGUAGAGGGUGCGGUUUAAUUGGAUCAACGCCGGAAAU